rnacentral:rRNA from 1 species
AGAGUUUGAUCCUGGCUCAGAUUGAACGCUGGCGGCAGGCCUAACACAUGCAAGUCGGGCGGUAACAGGGAGAAGCUUGCUUCUCCGCUGACGAGCGGCGGACGGGUGAGUAAUGUAUGGGGAUCUGCCUGAUGGCGGGGGAUAACUACUGGAAACGGUAGCUAAUACCGCAUAAUCUCUAAGGAGCAAAGCAGGGGAACUUCGGUCCUUGCGCUAUCGGAUGAACCCAUAUGGGAUUAGCUAGUUGGUGAGGUAAUGGCUCACCAAGGCGACGAUCCCUAGCUGGUCUGAGAGGAUGAUCAGCCACACUGGGACUGAGACACGGCCCAGACUCCUACGGGAGGCAGCAGUGGGGAAUAUUGCACAAUGGGCGCAAGCCUGAUGCAGCCAUGCCGCGUGUAUGAAGAAGGCCUUCGGGUUGUAAAGUACUUUCAGCGGGGAGGAAGGUGUUGUGGUUAAUAACCACAGCAAUUGACGUUACCCGCAGAAGAAGCACCGGCUAACUCCGUGCCAGCCGCCGCGGUAAUUC